rnacentral:rRNA from 1 species
UUGAACGCUGGCGGCAGGCCUAACACAUGCAAGUCGAGCGGUAGCACAGAGAGCUUGCUCUCGGGUGACGAGCGGCGGACGGGUGAGUAAUGUCUGGGAAACUGCCUGAUGGAGGGGGAUAACUACUGGAAACGGUAGCUAAUACCGCAUAACGUCGCAAGACCAAAGUGGGGGACCUUCGGGCCUCAUGCCAUCAGAUGUGCCCAGAUGGGAUUAGCUAGUAGGUGGGGUAACGGCUCACCUAGGCGACGAUCCCUAGCUGGUCUGAGAGGAUGACCAGCCACACUGGAACUGAGACACGGUCCAGACUCCUACGGGAGGCAGCAGUGGGGAAUAUUGCACAAUGGGCGCAAGCCUGAUGCAGCCAUGCCGCGUGUGUGAAGAAGGCCUUCGGGUUGUAAAGCACUUUCAGCGGGGAGGAAGGCGAUAAGGUUAAUAACCUUGUCGAUUGACGUUACCCGCAGAAGAAGCACCGGCUAACUCCGUGCCAGCAGCCGCGGUAAUACGGAGGGUGCAAGCGUUAAUCGGAAUUACUGGGCGUAAAGCGCACGCAGGCGGUCUGUCAAGUCGGAUGUGAAAUCCCCGGGCUCAACCUGGGAACUGCAUUCGAAACUGGCAGGCUAGAGUCUUGUAGAGGGGGGUAGAAUUCCAGGUGUAGCGGUGAAAUGCGUAGAGAUCUGGAGGAAUACCGGUGGCGAAGGCGGCCCCCUGGACAAAGACUGACGCUCAGGUGCGAAAGCGUGGGGAGCAAACAGGAUUAGAUACCCUGGUAGUCCACGCUGUAAACGAUGAAUACUAGGUGUGGGGGGACUGACCCCCUCCGUGCCGCAGUUAACACAAUAAGUAUUCCACCUGGGGAGUACGGCCGCAAGGUUAAAACUCAAAUGAAUUGACGGGGGCCCGCACAAGCGGUGGAGCAUGUGGUUUAAUUCGAUGCAACGCGAAGAACCUUACCUGGUCUUGACAUCCACAGAACUUUCCAGAGAUGGAUUGGUGCCUUCGGGAACUGUGAGACAGGUGCUGCAUGGCUGUCGUCAGCUCGUGUUGUGAAAUGUUGGGUUAAGUCCCGCAACGAGCGCAACCCUUAUCCUUUGUUGCCAGCGGUUAGGCCGGGAACUCAAAGGAGACUGCCAGUGAUAAACUGGAGGAAGGUGGGGAUGACGUCAAGUCAUCAUGGCCCUUACGACCAGGGCUACACACGUGCUACAAUGGCAUAUACAAAGAGAAGCGACCUCGCGAGAGCAAGCGGACCUCAUAAAGUAUGUCGUAGUCCGGAUUGGAGUCUGCAACUCGACUCCAUGAAGUCGGAAUCGCUAGUAAUCGUAGAUCAGAAUGCUACGGUGAAUACGUUCCCGGGCCUUGUACACACCGCCCGUCACACCAUGGGAGUGGGUUGCAAAAGAAGUAGGUAGCUUAACCUUCGGGAGGGCGCUUACCACUUUGUGAUUCAUGACUGGGGUG